rnacentral:misc_RNA from 1 species
AAGUCGUAACAAGGUUUCCGUAGGUGAACCUGCGGAAGGAUCAUUAGUGAAUGACCAAACGCUUGGGUGUCUCUGCUUCGGCAAGCCCCUCGCACCCUUCACAUCCAUAACACCUCGUGCACCUGUAAGAUGACUCUCUGGACUUCGGUCCUUGGGUCGUCAUGACCUUUUUUACAAAACUAUUAUAUGUAACAAAUGUAGUCUUAUUAUACAAAAUAAAA